GGGCCAAACAUUGUUGAUUUCGAAUAACAGACCGUAGUUGCCAAUGUUGUUCUGUUGAAAAAUAAAAAUAAUCUUGAAUAGUACCGAAAUUGUGAUUGUGCUAACCGAAAAAUGACUAUCAACAAUAUUCCAGGUUACCCGUUCGUAAGUCGAACAAGUACAACCCACCAAGUUCUAGCAAACUAGAACUUCAAAAUGUUCCGGAAAGCGAACUGGAAAUUCCAGCAUCAAUCCGAAAGUAUUUUUGAACGAAAUUUUUUUUGCGCGAUCGACAUCGAGUCGGAUUCGAACCUUUUGAUACUCGCCGGAGCGGAAGGAUAGGAUUAAAAGUGAUUUUUUGCAAAUCAUCCACUCAUGAAGUCUAUUCGAACUAUGCCGGGACGGUCGAUCCGGGACUAUUCGGGACGUUUCAUUUCCUCGUCGGGGAUGACUGAGCUGCCGGCGUGUGCAUAUAUUGGAAUAACGAAUUCGACGUAAAAUCCAUUUUGUUGCCACCGAUAUCCCUCGCCGAGUUUUCGCACCGUUGGCACCAAGAAAAACUCGGCGUCCCGGAUCGACCGGCCCAGCAUAGUGCAAAUAGACUUUUAUCCUAGAAUACCUUUCCAGCUACUUGAAUUUUGUGAACGAAGAUAGUUUACCCCAUUCAUCCAACACGUUUAUUUUAAAUAAAUAAAGUGUCUGUAAUCAAGCCAACUCCACAUUUUAUUUCAUUUAUUAAAACAAUUACUUUAUAUUUUUGAAUGCAUUAAUUGAAAAGAUAAAAUGAAAAUUGGGGCUUGUAGUUUCUUGUAACGCAUAGACCAUAUUUUUACUGUAAUGUAAUCGAUGUUUUUAAUUUGGAUGUCUAUGAGCGAUCGCCGUUAUGUCAGACGUAUCAAAACUUUCCGUAUGGAGUACCAAACCAGAAGACAGUGAUAUAGCUGACGUCUGAAGCAUAAAUAAACUGAUUUUACAGCAGUGGAAUAGGCUA